AUUGAACGCUGGCGGCAUGCCUUACACAUGCAAGUCGAACGGCAGCACGGGGGCAACCCUGGUGGCGAGUGGCGAACGGGUGAGUAAUGCAUCGGAACGUGCCCAGUAGUGGGGGAUAACCAGUCGAAAGACUGGCUAAUGCCGCAUACGACCCAAGGGUGAAAGCGGGGGACCGUAAGGCCUCGCGCUAUUGGAGCGGCCGAUGUCUGAUUAGCUAGUUGGCGGGGUAAGAGCCACCAAGGCGACGAUCAGUAGCUGGUCUGAGAGGACGACCAGCCACACUGGGACUGAGACACGGCCCAGACUCCUACGGGAGGCAGCAGUGGGGAAUUUUGGACAAUGGGCGCAAGCCUGAUCCAGCCAUGCCGCGUGCAGGAAGAAGGCCUUCGGGUUGUAAACCGCUUUUGGCAGGAACGAAACGGCGCAGGCCAAUACCUUGCGCUAAUGACGGUACCUGCAGAAUAAGCACCGGCUAACUACGUGCCAGCCGCCGCCGUAACAC
rnacentral:rRNA from 1 species